rnacentral:rRNA from 1 species
UACGGAGGAUGCAAGCGUUAUCCGGAAUGAUUGGGCGUAAAGCGUCCGCAGGUGGCAAUGUAAGUCUGCUGUUAAAGAGUCUAGCUCAACUAGAUAAGAGCAGUGGAAACUACAUAGCUAGAGUACGUUCGGGGCAGAGGGAAUUCCUGGCGUAGCGGUGAAAUGCGUAGAGAUCAGGAAGAACACCGGUGGCGAAGGCGCUCUGCUAGGCCGUAACUGACACUGAGGGACGAAAGCUAGGGGAGCGAAUGGG